rnacentral:rRNA from 1 species
GAUGAACGCUGGCGGCGUGCCUAAUACAUGCAAGUCGAGCGAAUGGAUUAAGAGCUUGCUCUUAUGAAGUUAGCGGCGGACGGGUGAGUAACACGUGGGUAACCUGCCCAUAAGACUGGGAUAACUCCGGGAAACCGGGGCUAAUACCGGAUAACAUUUUGAACCGCAUGGUUCGAAAUUGAAAGGCGGCUUCGGCUGUCACUUAUGGAUGGACCCGCGUCGAAUUAGCUAGUUGGUGAGGUAACGGAUCACGAAGGCAACGAUGCGUAGCCGACCUGAGAGGGGGAUCGGCCACACUGGGACUGAGACACGGCCCAGACUCCUACGGGAGGCAGCAGUAGGGAAUCUUCCGCAAUGGACGAAAGUCUGACGGAGCAACGCCGCGUGAGUGAUGAAGGCUUUCGGGUCGUAAAACUCUGUUGUUAGGGAAGAACAAGUGCUAGUUGAAUAAGCUGGCACCUUGACGGUACCUAACCAGAAAGCCACGGCUAACUACGUGCCAGCCGCCGCGGUAA